GACGAACGCUGGCGGCGUGCUUAACACAUGCAAGUCGAACGGAAAGGCCCUGCUUUUGUGGGGUGCUCGAGUGGCGAACGGGUGAGUAACACGUGAGUAACCUGCCCUUGUCUUUGGGAUAACUUCAGGAAACUGGGGCUAAUACCGGAUAGGAGCUCCUGCUGCAUGGUGGGGGUUGGAAAGUUUCGGCGGUUGGGGAUGGACUCGCGGCUUAUCAGCUUGUUGGUGGGGUAGUGGCUUACCAAGGCUUUGACGGGUAGCCGGCCUGAGAGGGUGACCGGCCACAUUGGGACUGAGAUACGGCCCAGACUCCUACGGGAGGCAGCAGUGGGGAAUAUUGCGCAAUGGGCGGAAGCCUGAUGCAGCAACGCCGCGUGCGGGAUGACGGCCUUCGGGUUGUAAACCGCUUUCGCCUGUGACGAAGCGUGAGUGACGGUAAUGGGUAAAGAAGCACCGGCUAACUACGUG
rnacentral:rRNA from 1 species